UGGCACUGCACAAGUGCGUAGCGAUACGGGUAUAACUUUAAUAUUAAGACACAAUAUUAGUAUUAAAAAACAAGUGUUUAAAUUAAGGUUUAAAACCCGCGUUUGACAAGAAUAAAAUUUAUCGCAAGCGCAAAAAAUAAUCACGACCGUUCGCUAUGAAGUGAAGGAAGAGACCCUUUUAUAAGUGUCGCGGAUCGAUUAUCGAUAGUUAGUAUUUAAUUAGAAUUUAGUAUUGUGCACUCAUGAAGAGAUUGGGCACACUAGAAUAGAUAAUAAUGGCGCGUUCGUGGUGAAUUUGUCGUCGAUGCCAUAGAGUGUGGGAGGUUAUACUGCGAAUAAAACAUACGUUUAUACGCACAUACACUGGCUUGUGUAUUAGAGGCGGGUUGCCCCAUCGCCGCCGUAUGUUAAAGGCAACUCCCACCUGAGAGACGACAUUAAGUUAUUUCUUCAUUACAUUUUGAUUUAUACAUACAAUUUUAGAAAAUGCGCCUUUCGUCAAUUUUUUUAAUAGAAUAUUUAAUAUAUAUUAGUGAUUUUGUUUAUGUGUCGCGCCUUGUCGCCUGAAACUUUUUAUGCAGAAAUAAAAUAUACUCUGUCGUUAACUUAAAAGAAAAA